CCUCCCAGCCUCAAGCAAUCCUCCCACCUCUGUCUCCAUAGUAGUUGGCACUACAGUCUUUCAGCCAGCUCUCUACAUUUAGUAUACUUCUUCAAGGGCUCUGGAACAGCCUUGGCUAAUGAAUCCAUGUCAACUUCCUCAUACUUCAGAACAUCGAGAGCUCUGCAAAUAUAUGAAAGUUUCAUUAACAUAAGGAUCCAUGUCAUAUAAGGCAGAUCAAGAACAAGAUUCUUUGAAAUAAUAUCAGAUCUCAGAAUAAAUACCAAAAGAUUAUUUCUUUUUUUUUUUUUUUGAGAUGGAGUCUCGCUCUGUCGCCCAUCAACUGUAGUGCAGUGGUACAAUCUUGGCUCACUGCAAUCCCCACCUGCUG
rnacentral:lncRNA from 10 species